UGAUCGACAAGAUUUUCUAAAUUUCAGC
rnacentral:sRNA from 1 species